rnacentral:rRNA from 1 species
UACAGAGGGUGCAAGCGUUAAUCGGAUUUACUGGGCGUAAAGGGCGCGUAGGUGGUUAUUUAAGUGAGAUGUGAAAUCCCCGGGCUUAACCUGGGAACUGCGUCUUAUACUGGAUAGCUUGAGUACAUGAGAGGGUAGUGGAAUUUCCGGUGUAGCGGUGAAAUGCGUAGAUAUCGGAAGGAACACCAGUGGCGAAGGCGGCUACCUGGCAUGAUACUGACACUGAGGCGCGAGAGCGUGGGGAGCAAACAGG